CCUACGGGGGGCAGCAGUGGGGAAUAUUGGACAAUGGGGGGAACCCUGAUCCAGCCAUGCCGCGUGUGUGAAGAAGGCCCUCGGGUUGUAAAGCACUUUCAGUGAGGAAGAACGCCUGGUGGUUAAUACCCAUCAGGAAAGACAUCACUCACAGAAGAAGCACCGGCUAACUCCGUGCCAGCAGCCGCGGUAAUACGGAGGGUGCGAGCGUUAAUCGGAAUUACUGGGCGUAAAGCGCGCGUAGGUGGCUUGAUAAGCCGGUUGUGAAAGCCCCGGGCUCAACCUGGGAACGGCAUCCGGAACUGUCAAGCUAGAGUGCAGGAGAGGAAGGUAGAAUUCCCGGUGUAGCGGUGAAAUGCGUAGGGAUCGGGAGGAAUACCAGUGGCGAAGGCGGCCUUCUGGACUGACACUGACACUGAGGUGCGAAAGCGUGGGUAGCAAACAGGAUUAGAUACCCGGGUAGUC
rnacentral:rRNA from 1 species